rnacentral:rRNA from 1 species
GACGAACGCUGGCGGCGUGCCUAACACAUGCAAGUCGAACGGAACUGUUUUGAAAGAUUUCUUCGGAAUGAAUUUGAUUUAGUUUAGUGGCGGACGGGUGAGUAACGCGUGAGUAACCUGCCUUCAAGAGGGGAAUAACAUUCUGAAAAGAAUGCUAAUACCGCAUGACAUAUCGGAACCACAUGGUUUUGAUAUCAAAGAUUUUAUCGCUUGAAGAUGGACUCGCGUCCGAUUAGUUAGUUGGUGAGGUAACGGCUCACCAAGACCGCGAUCGGUAGCCGGACUGAGAGGUUGAACGGCCACAUUGGGACUGAGACACGGCCCAGACUCCUACGGGAGGCAGCAGUGGGGGAUAUUGCGCAAUGGGGGCAACCCUGACGCAGCAACGCCGCGUGAAGUAUGAAGGUUUUCGGAUUGUAAACUUCUUUUAUUAAGGACGAAAAAUGACGGUACUUAAUGAAUAAGCUCCGGCUAACUACGUG